GUGCCAGCAGCCGCGGUAAUACGUAGGUGGCAAGCGUUAUCCGGAAUUAUUGGGCGUAAAGCGCGCGUAGGCGGUUUUUUAAGCUCUGAUGUGAAAGCCCACGGCUCAACCGUGGAGGGUCAUUGGAAACUGGAAAACUUGAGUGCAGAAGAGGAAGGUGGAAUUCCAUGUGUAGCGGUGAAAUGCGCAGAGAUAUGGAGGAACACCAGUGGCGAAGGCGACUUUCUGGUCUGUAACUGACGCUGAUGUGCGAAA
rnacentral:rRNA from 1 species